CUCAUUUUGGCUCUUGGUACCGUCAACUAGGAAGAGAGAGAGAGAGAAGGGCAGCAUGAGGAGCUAGAGAGAGAAGGAGAGAAAAGAAGGAAGAAAGGGAGAAAGAGAGAGAGAGAGAUCAAGGAAGAAGAAGAAGGAAAAAAGCUAGGCUCAAGGGUUGUAGGUGCCAAAAAAGAAGAACCAACUUUGUGAGGUUGAUUUCUAUCAAGGAGGUUUGCAAUGGUAGUGCAACUUGUGCCACGUGUGCAUGACCCAUGCACACGUGGGGUAUGUAUUUUGAGCAUGAGUAUUCUUACGUGAUUCUAAGAGAUGAACAUUUGGUUAUGAUUAUGGGCUCGUUGCGACGUUUUCUCAUUUUGCUUUGCUUGGACCUGAGGUAAACAAUAGGGUUUCUCUCUGGCACGCGCAGUGAUGUGGGGAGCUCCGAUGUCUGAGUAUGUAUGGUGUGGGGUUUUCCUAUGAAUGAAUAAACGAUCAAUAUGAGCACCAAGAUUUAAUGAAACUAUGUAAUGGAUUUUAUUUUCAAAUACGACAGUGGGACUUAAACUUUUAUUUUCAUUUAAAUAAUGCAUUAGAAUUGUUGACGCCAUUUUCUGUCAACCUAAAAAGGAAAGCAAUUAAACUAGAAUAUAUCAGAGGAAAUAAAAGAAGAUGAAAACAAGAGGA